AACACCCAGGGCCCCGUGCUUUUAGCUGAAUAAAGGUCAGGCCGUCCGCUGUCUCGGUGGCCGCCCAUCAUCGCAAGGGACGAGAGGCCCCCCAGGGAAGGUCAACGUAUGCAAAGCUCCGGGCUCACCUCCGCAAGCAGGAGACAUUUCCAUUUUUACUCCGUUUGGUGGACUC
rnacentral:lncRNA from 1 species